rnacentral:rRNA from 1 species
AUUGAACGCUGGCGGCAGGCUUAACACAUGCAAGUCGAGCGGAGAUGAGGUGCUUGCACCUUAUCUUAGCGGCGGACGGGUGAGUAAUGCUUAGGAAUCUGCCUAUUAGUGGGGGACAACAUUCCGAAAGGAAUGCUAAUACCGCAUACGUCCUACGGGAGAAAGCAGGGGAUCUUCGGACCUUGCGCUAAUAGAUGAGCCUAAGUCGGAUUAGCUAGUUGGUGGGGUAAAGGCCUACCAAGGCGACGAUCUGUAGCGGGUCUGAGAGGAUGAGCCGCCACACUGGGACUGAGACACGGCCCAGACUCCUACGGGGGGUAGCAGUGGGGAAUAUUGGACAAUGGGGGGAACCCUGAUCCAGCCAUGCCGCGUGUGUGAAGAAGGCCUUAUGGUUGUAAAGCACUUUAAGCGAGGAGGAGGCUACUGAGACUAAUACUCUUGGAUAGUGGACGUUACUCGCAGAAUAAGCACCGGCUAACUCUGUGCCAGCAGCCGCCGUAA